rnacentral:antisense_RNA from 1 species
UUCCUCAUGGUCUCGGAGGGGCUCCCCCGCAGCCCGGGAGGGGAGGCACAGGGGGUCCCCGGGCGGGGGAGACCACCCGGGGCCGAAGGCAGCUUCGACCGCGGAAACGGAGGAGUGGGAGUGUGAGGAGAAAUAUGCAAUGAUGACAUUUCCAAGAAGUGAUGGCAUCUGGCGCUAAGGACAAAGAAUGGGAUUUUGCCACAGGGAUCUUAUUCUCCCACAUGUUCUGUCUGAAGGAGAAAGUUAUCUGAGGCCUUAUAUGAUGCAAAACUUUGGACUCAAAGAAAUUAAAUCACUUGCCCAAGGUUACAUAGCUGCCCCUGGCAAACACCAUUCUACUUUCUGUCUCUACGAAUUUGACUACUCGAAGUACCUCAUGUGAAAUGUUGGUGCCAAAUGAACUUUUCUGGUUCUUCUGAAUAUGCCACUGUUGCUGGAGAAAUGUCACUGCUAGAGAAUAGAAGACUAUUAUUCCAAAGGGUAUUUGAGACUGACUGAAUCAGGUCUGGAACAUUAUUGAAAUGAGACCCACAAAGGAAGAGAUACUGAGGUGGUGACCAGAUGGAUAUAAACGGGCUGUGGAAAAAGAGAAUGCAUGGCCAAAAAUGGUGGUGCUCUCUGACCAAAAACUAAGGCCCUAUGACCAUGAAUGAAGCCAGAGGGCAGGUAGGAAUAGAUCAUUUGCUCCAGAAGAAGCUGGUUGCCAUGUCUUGAGGACAGUAAACCCUCUGGGGAGGUUCCUGUGGUAAGGAACAAGGGCUCCUGGCAAUAGCCUCUGAGUGAGCCACCUUGAAAAUGGAUUGUCCAGCCCCAGUCAAGCUUUCAGAGGACUGUAGCCCCUGCCAAUGUCUUCACCACAACCUCAUGAGAUCCCAAGCUACAACCACUCAGUUAAGUUAUGCCAAAAUUCCUGAUUCACAGAAAGUGACAUACAGGAGAGGUCACAGUUAAGAUCUUGAUGUUCUAUCUUGACCCAUAAUAUAGGAACUUCAUCUUUUGGGAAGCACCAGGGAGAGCUGCCUGUGCCUGGCAGAAGCUGCCCAUGCCCCACUGAUACCCCACAGUACUUCCUGUUCUGCUCAGUACUCCUGCUUCUUUCUACAAACAACUGUGAUUCUCUACCUGGGAGCUUCCUCUGGCCACAGGAGCCUGCUCACCUGAUUGGGACACCCUAGCAGUACUGGCUCAUAGAUGCAAGGGACUUGCCUUGUCGCUGAUGAGACUUUCGACUUGGACUUUUGAGUCAAUGCUGGAAUGAGUUAAGACUUUGGGGAACUGUUGGAAGGGUGUGAUUGUGUUUUGAAUUGUGAGGACAUGAGAUUUUGAAGAGGCUAAGGGCAGCGUCCCCACCUAAAUCUCAUCUUGAAUUGUAGUUCCCAUAAUCCCCACGUGUCGUGGGGUGGACCCGGUGGAGAUAAUUGAAUCAUGGGAACACUUUCCCCCAUGCUGUUAUUGUGAUUGUGAAUUCUCACGAGAUCUGAUGGUUUUAUAAAGGCCUUCCCUCUUCGCUGGGCACUCAUUUUUCUCCUUCCUGCCACCACGUGAAGAAGGAUAUGCUUGCUCCUUGUGCCACGAUUACAAGAACACACUCAGAAAUUUUCUCAACACAAUUUCUAUGCAGAGAAGAGAUGUGGGACAGAUUUGAACUGCUGUCAUAUUUGUAUGAACCCAAGACAUUUUCCAAGACCAAGAGGGAUAAAGACAGCAAUUUCUAUGACUGGCAUUUUACGUACAUGCACUGUUUCCAAGUGUUCUUAUGUUCUGUGCCUUAAACAUUCUGUGUUGCAACUUUAUGAAUUGAAUUAAAGAUAAUCCCAAGCC